GGUCCUACGGGACGCAGCAGUGGGGAUAUUGCACAAUGGGGGAAACCCUGAUGCAGCGACGCCGCGUGAGCGAUGAAGUAUUUCGGUAUGUAAAGCUCUAUCAGCAGGGAAGAAAAUGACGGUACCUGACUAGAAGCCCCGGCUAACUACGUGCCAGCAGCCGCGGUAAUACGUAGGGGGCAAGCGUUAUCCGGAUUUACUGGGUGUAAAGGGAGCGUAGACGGCAGGGCAAGUCUGAAGUGAAAGGCAAGGGCUCAACCCUUGGACUGCUUUGGAAACUGGGCUGGUGGAGUGUCGGAGAGGCA
rnacentral:rRNA from 1 species